UACGGAGGGUGCAAGCGUUAUCCGGAUUCACUGGGUUUAAAGGGUGCGUAGGUGGGCAGUUAAGUCAGUGGUGAAAUCUCCGGGCUUAACCCGGAAACUGCCAUUGAUACUAUCUGUCUUGAAUACCGUGGAGGUAAGCGGAAUAUGUCAUGUAGCGGUGAAAUGCUUAGAUAUGACAUAGAACACCAAUUGCGAAGGCAGCUUACUACACGUACUAUUGACACUGAGGCACGAAAGCGUGGGGAUCGAACAGG
rnacentral:rRNA from 1 species